rnacentral:rRNA from 1 species
UACGUAGGGUGCAAGCGUUGUCCGGAAUUAUUGGGCGUAAAGAGCUCGUAGGCGGUCUGUUGCGUCCGCUGUGAAAACUCGGGGCUUAACCCCGAGCCUGCAGUGGAUACGGGCAGACUAGAGGUAGGUAGGGGAGAAUGGAAUUCCCGGUGUAGCGGUGAAAUGCGCAGAUAUCGGGAGGAACACCGGUGGCGAAGGCGGUUCUCUGGGCCGAUACUGACGCUGAGGCACGAAAGCGUGGGGAGCAAACAGG